AGAUCAAUACCUGCACCCACCAGCUGAAUCAAUGUUACUUUGGAAUAGCAAAAUUCUUGGUCUAAGGUGAACCAAACAUAUCUUACAUGUGUUACAUGUAAUAUGGGUUCCUAAGCUUAUAUUUGGUGCCACUGAGUGCCCAACGACACAGCUGAUUUUGUACUUGGAGAACUAUUGUUUGGCCGGCUUCUCUUUCUGGGUGAGAGUGUGGAGUAUGCAAGAGCUUACACCCAAGAAAUGGUGCUGAAACAUUUUUUGCAGUUGCUUUCAUGCUUCAAAGAUUCUGGAAGUAGGGCCAGAAGUUAAAGUGAUUGCUGGUCAUCCUUUGCCUUCUGACAUAUCGUUGAGUUCAGAUUCCUCCAUUGAAUUGCAAAAGGUUUUGAAGACAAAAAUGGAUUGGACUAAGCCCCCACCACCAACCUGCUGAUGUAUGUGACCAACAGACAAGCAUAUGCUCCCAAUUACAAAGCAUGGUUUCUGCAAAAACCCAGGUGCUACACUGCUACUUGC